UGAUAACUCACUUAGCACAGUAUGAUAGCUAGAAAUAUAAGAAAGGAUAUAAAAGAAAUGGGACCAGCACACAACUACCUAUGGUGCCUAGUGCCAGGGAAAGGUAUUUUAAAAGGCAGAGGAAAGAAAGAAUCAUUUUACCAUGUCCUCCAGAAACUCUGGGAAGCAAUUUGCCGGUAUUCAGUUUCUCUCCCCACCGUCCUGUUAUUGCUGUUUUCCCCUCAACUCUUGGAGCCUUCAACCUGAAAAGGAGAGUUUUUUUAGUUUAGGCUUUGUGUCACUUGGAAACAGUGCCUUUGUUGCCAAGGCAACAGUUCUGGGACAAUGAAACUCAGAAGCAGAGAGCGCCUUUGUCUUGGAAUGGAUGAAGAGUGACCGACGCUGUCUUUGGUCCAGCCUCUUAACGUGUUUGCAUGUGCUGUAGAAACCUGCAAGAGUCUUGAUUCAGUAUCUACCUGAACCUCUUGACCUCAUAAAAUAAAACCAGCACACCAAAUAAAUUGUAAAUGUUACAAUGGAAAAGCUACUUUGGCUACUUAAAUUUUCCUGGGAUGCCAGGUUUUGCAGAGCUCCCCUGAAACCCUAGAUUUACACUAAGCAAAGAUGAAACGUAGAUCUCAGUUUCUAAUCCGGAUUUGACUUUUUUUAGUUUCUGCGAAAGUACUGCUUUCACUUAUUUUUAUAUACAGUCAUGCAUAUAUGAGUCAUUUUCUGCUUUUGUUCUUUUUCAUAUGGUUAACUUCUACAUGUACAACAUGCUCACAAAUUUCAGUUAUUAGAGCUAACAAACGAUAGUGCCCAUAGACUCCAUAUAAAAGAGGCUUUGGCUUACCAUGUUAAAUUUCUUGAGCUUAAAGUUACUAUGUUUAGGCCAGAGAGUAAUUCUGAGCUAUUAGUUAUCAGCUAAUGCUAGCAAGCUAGGAUAGCAAGCUACAUCUGUCAGCUGUAUGGGUCCAUUUCACAGACAGAGAUAUCAGAGGUGUACUGGGGUUUCACUCACAGGCAGUGGAGCAAAGAGCAAAACUCUGUGCACAGAUUGUGCAAACUCAUAGCAGGAUAUUAUUUCUCCCAUUCAGUGAAUUAGCAGAGGUAAAGACUAGAAAACCGGUACUGCCUUUAGCUGCCUAUGCCAGCUGCUUAACCCUGAACAUGCCAUUAAAAAAAAAAAAUACUUCUACAUACUGCAGCUUUUUUGGCUCUAAUUUGAAAUAUAAUUUUGCAUGAGUAAGUGGGACUUUCCCUAAAUGAGUCAAGUCACUUAUGAUCUGUAUGUCUGUGAGAGACCUGUUGUUUUUACAGACACUGGAGAGGAAGCAAGUUGUCUUAUGUACUUAGGGUUGCCAACUCCCUGAAAAAUAAAUAAGGGACACCUCGUGGCCAGGGCCGGGCAACCCAGUUGUCUUCACCCUUCCCAGUGUGGUAGCUCUUUUUUUUGUGUGUGUGAAAUUAUUUUUUAACCAUUUGACUUGAAUUUGAUUUAAGCAGAUGCAUAUUCUUUGUGAUAUGACCAUAUGGGAAACAAAUGAUCAUUUAGCCAUUUAUUUUUAGCUCAAAAUGACAACAUUAACACAGUAAAACAGGUCUCUUUCUUAAACAGAAGCCUGUCAUGCUUAACUUUUGAGAAUAUAAGUAAAUCUUUCUUUAAAAGAACUCUGUCCUGCUUAACUUAAAAUUAUAUAAAUUAAUAGAAAGCAAUAGAACGAAAAAUAUUCUUGUAACAGUGCACAUUUAGUGCAUUUAGUACAAUUGGCUUCAGUUGAGGUAUUAUUUCAGCUUUUCUAAAGCUAAUCAGCUGCUCCUGUUUGUAAACCCGCUUGUUCCCAUGAUUACGCACCUUAACUCAUCAUCAUUAUUCAUCUAUGUAUUACUUUUAUGUAUUAUUCAUCUAUUUGUUGUAAUCAUCCAUCCUUGCAGUUGUUUAUUACACAAAAUAAAUGAUAUUAUCACACUUCUGGCCACAUAGCGCUGAUAUUCACCGCACAUGCCCAUAUUAACCUUAACCAGAGGGUUUAAACAACAAACCAGUGUUUACAUACCAUAUCUGCUUCUGCCGUGGCCUGGUGGACAAAAAAUUGGUUAAGGGUUCCCCGAGCUUUCACGCCCCUCAUGUUCUUCUUGUGCCCACCACUAGAAGCAUGCCUAUGGAAAAAGUGCGCCGGCACACAGUGCAGUGCGCUUUAUAGGUGUUAUCGUGCACUUUCCCAGCCAGGUGUUUUCCUUUUCCCAGUCCUCCCUGUACUUUUGCAGCCUUUUUUCUUUUCUUUCUCUGAGGGGAACAAACAUUGCUGCUCUAACGCUGGGCUUACACUGUGCGAUUUUUGGCCCAUUUUGAGCCGAUUUUUGAGUCGUGCGACCGAUUUGGUGAUCGGCCCGAUUUUGGCCUUCAUCGUGCAUCGUGUAGUAUACGUGGGGUAACGAGAAGCGAUUAACACCUCACGACCAGCUCCCGAUCAUCAAUCGCUCGUGAGGGUGUCACCACAGCCGCUCACACUGCUCAUGCGCAAACACGUAAACAUCGGUGAAAAAGACGGCGCAGCACGGCUGUGCAGCGUGUGAUCUGGACACAAGUGAUGGAGGCACUUGUAGAACCUUGGAAAGCUCAUCCGAGCCUUUUCGAUGUGGCAUCACAAAAUUAUCACGACCACAACAACCGUGAAAACAGUUGGAUUUACACUGCUGCUCAAUCACAGCUGCCUGAUCAUGUUUUUCAUUAGCAAUUUAGCAAAGUUGAUGGUGGUGUGUCUGUGUGAGUGAAAGACAGAGAGAGAGAGCGACAGAUUUUCUGUUAUAACCUUCAUGUUAUGUUGGCACAGUGUGAGCACUCAGGUCGCAUCAGAGCAUCGGGCCGUAUAGUGUGAGACCUGCAUCGUGACCUGCAAACUUCUAAUCCCUGCGAGUCAAUCGUGCAGUUUGAGCAAGAGCUGAAUAACGUGACUGAAAAAAAUCGCAGUGUCUGCCCAGCUUUAGGUGUACUGUCAUCCGAGACUUGCACCGCAGUGUCGGCGUUUGUUUCCCUGUUGGCCAUGCUUGUUGUUGUGGUCAUCUGUUGUCUUCCGGUAUUUUCUCCGCAAGCGACCUUUCCUCGACCAAUGAGAUAAUCUGAAUUGUCAUACUCGAAUUGUCAUAAGUGUGCUGUCAGCUCAUUGGUCACAAAGCAGGAGAGGGGCUGGGAAUUAUGUUUUCAAACAAAGCGUUAAUUCCAUUAACAUUUAUAGACUACUUUUGAUUCUCACUGUAUUACGGGACAAAGUGCGUCCCUUAUUAGCUCAAUACGGGACGUGUACUUUUGUUUCUAAAUACGGGACGAUUCCGUUUUUUAAGGGACGGUUGGCAACCCUAUAUGUACUAUUCAUUUAUUUUAAAAAGAUAAAGUGCACAUGACCUGUAAUUCUUAUUGUACUGUUGUUUCCUUCUCUCUGUUUUUUCUUGUUAUAAUAUUUAGAGGCCAAAAUGGGAAACCAUAUAAUUAAUUAUAGGAAUAUUAACAUAAUCCAAAUCAGUUCAAGCAAGUGUACUAAAUGAUUUCAUUUUAACACCCAACAAGACUCAGAGAUUAUACAACACUGCGGGUUAAUCUUGUGGCAUCUGUAAAUCAAGGGAACAUUUGGCAUUACUCAUUUACAGUUAUCAAAGUUUCUUAAUACAAGUUUGGGCAGUGUUGGUCGAGAUAAAAUAUGACUCCAGUUUUUUUUUCUUUUGUCUUAUAUGUGCACCUCUCUCUGAAUCACUUUAUUUCGCCAUUCUUUAUCUUUUUCAGAUGAUCACCAAGAAGGGGCUGAGUAAUGGAAACAUGACCUCAAGAGAUUCAACAGGGUGAGGCAUGUGAGAGAAACGUGGGAAGGGAAAAUCCAGAAUGGAGGCCAGAAGAGAUGCACAAAGUCAGGAUCAUACUAAAUCCUGGUUUGGACUGUUGGACCAGCAUCCUCUGAAGCAGAUGUUUGCUCCUGGCAAGGCUGCCGACAACAUGAGCUCCAACACUGGCAAUCUAGCUCCCAGGAUUCAGUGAGCAGCGUGAGCUUGGAGAAGCUAUGACAUAAACGCAGCAGGACGGUGAAUCGCGUUUUGCUGCUCAGACAUCAUGGAACAGAUCAGUCAGCCCCAUCUGGAGAAAUGCUCUAUAGAAGAGUCAUAUAUUUACCAUAGUUACUUUGAUGGAUACAGCAUGUUGUUUGACUUUAUUUUUCUAAUUGAUUUUAUGAUGAUAAUUUCCCGGCAUCUAUGUAUCUUCUCUUGUUUUGCAGAUUUUAUUUACAGUGUCGCUCAUUCAGUAACUUCAGCAUUUAAUGUGUAAUUUUUGUCAUUUUUGGUAAUGUGACUGUUUUCAAAGUGGCUCUUCUAAAACUGCAUAAGAACGUUUAUCCAGGGAGGAGCACAAAAGAUGUCUCCUACUGUGUAUAAAGACUUAAUGCACAUGUGAUUGAGAUUAAUCAGACGAAUCACUCAAUCAGUGGAUAUGUGAUUUUCAUCUUCGACAAAGAAGCCAUUGUCAUUAAUGUAAAACCAUGAAUUCUCCUUCUUACGCUGCAUUUUAUUGUGACACAUUGGCAGCUUCUGCUAAUUUCAGUUAAUAAUCCUGUCAAGCAGUUUAUUCUCAUUAUGAUUUAUGACUCCAUAGCUUUUGUUGUUUUUGUUAAGCCCUGUUAGCAGAAAUUAAAAGGUGUAUCCAAGCUGCUGUUUGUUUGUGUUGUCAUUCCAGAUACAUGAGAUAAAUGGUUGGAUGUUUCAGUGGUGUUCAUUGUUACGGUUAUUCAUGCUGGCUUCCUUACUAGUUAGGCCAGUAUGUGCUAGUCUAGCAUUUGAGGAAUAAAUGGGGUGUUAUCUUUUUUUUUUUUCUUCAAAGGAAGACAAGGUAAAGGUGAACUUUACAGUAAAAAUGUAAUAUGUUACAUUUAAACUGAAACAGUGAUUUUUAAUAGUUUUACUGGCAAUCGCAACAUACUGAAUGUAUAUUUUUGGUUGAUGUUACAAUGUAAUGUGUAAAUGCAUCACUUACUAUAAUCACAAAAAAUUGUAGAAGUAACAGUAAAAAGAUGACAUCAUUUUG
ensembl:lncRNA